CCCCUCAAGCUUGAUCCCUAACCUACCUAAGGUUGGAACAGAUUGAAAGUAUGGUAUCCACAAAUUCACGACGGCUUUCCCGUAUCGCUGAAGAAAUGACAUGAAAUUGCUUUCCACUUCAUUAAUGGACGGCAAAGGACUAAUCACACCCAUUUCCAGAUAGUGAAUUCUAUCCUCAAACCACAUACCUCAAAGAAGGGGG
rnacentral:lncRNA from 1 species